UAUUUCUAGGAUAUUCUUGUUUUAUUUCACUUGCAGAAUAGAGAGCUGACAAAAAUAAUACUACAAUGAAUUAACCAUCAAAAGAGGAAACCAACCUUUUAGCAAUUUGGCUGAAGAACGCUACCCCAAAGCACUGCUUGAUUUGAUGGUAAAACAUGUGCAUAAUGGCGGGAGAGACGGGUAAGGCUUUAAAAUGGAUGCUUUGCAUAACAUAGUGGCUAGAUUCAGCAAGGCAACAGCGUCGAAUUAUGAAGUUGAAGAUUUGAAAGACCGGUUGAGCUUUUACACAACCGAAUAUGAAACGGUGAACAACAUCGAGCAACAACCAACACGUAGGUGGGAUUACCAACGUCACGUAGUAAUUGCUACAGAUAAUGAAUGGAAUUGAUAUAUUAAGGCAAAACCCGAAGCAGAGCUUUUUGGAGAAGAACAACAACACUAUAUUUUCAUACAUUUUGUUCAUUGUCAUCUACAAACUCUGAAUGUGCAUUGUAACUGUAAUAAAGCAAACAAUUAUUUGAAAAUGUGUUACUUGACUAUUA